rnacentral:rRNA from 1 species
GUUAGGAAUAUUGGACAAUGGGCGCAAGCCUGAUCCAGCCAUGCCGCGUGAGUGAUGAAGGCCUUCGGGUUGUAAAGCUCUUUAGCCGAUGAUUAUAAUGACUGUAGUCGGAAAAUAAGCCCCGGCUAACUUCGUGCCAGCAGCCGCGGUAAUACGAAGGGGGCGAGCGUUAUUCGGAAUCACUGGGCGUAAAGCGUGCGUAGGCGGCUUUGCAAGUUGGGAGUGAAAGCCCAGGGCUCAACCCUGGAAUUGCUCUCAAAACUGCAAGGCUCGAAUUCGGGGGAGGAUAGCGGAAUUGUCAGUGUAGCAGUGAAAUGCGUAGAUAUUGACAGGAACACCAGUGGCGUAAGCGGCUAUCUGGACCGAUAUUGACGCUGAGGCACGAAAGCGUGGGGAUCAAACAGGAUUAGAAACCCGGGUAGUCC